UCUUGUGAAUUUCAUUUGGAAAGUCGAGUUCUUGAAUAGUUGAAUGAAACCAGCUCGAUAAGGAGCUUUCUCUCUUUGGUUUUGGUUUAAAGUGUUUAUAUAUGCUUUGAUUAGAUUCUGCGUAAUUUCUUGAAGCAGUUUCUUGUUGUGAUCAGAUUUUCCAAUUAGGCGUUUUGCUAGGAGUUUCUCGGGUUUUCUUCAAUGAUUUCCUAUCUAUUCGGAAUUGAAUAAUAUAUGAAUUUGGAUUCGACACUAUCCAAUGUGUAUAACAUGCAAUACUACUUGUUUAACUUUACUCCUUUUAUGGAUUGGGAUGCUUUUGUUAGUUAAUAAAGCAAGAUUUUGCUGUAG
rnacentral:misc_RNA from 1 species